AUAUAUAUACUCCGUGGUUGCUUCAUCGAUCGCAUGCGCGCAGCUCAUUCUCUUCGGUGGCAGUUUUAUUUAUCCUGUUUGUGUGCGUCUGUAAGUCUGUUUUUGCACAUUCCUCUUGGUGGUCAGUUUGUGCUUUCAUUCUCUCAUUUAUGUAUCAGUAUCAACACGUGUCAUUGUGUAAUAUUUCCAUAAUUCAAUAAAAGAAAGUGCACUUGUGUAGUAA
rnacentral:lncRNA from 1 species